UACGGAGGAUGCAAGCGUUAUCCGGAUUCAUUGGGUUUAAAGGGUGCGUAGGCGGACUACUAAGUCAGUGGUGAAAGCCUGCAGCUUAACUGCAGAACUGCCAUUGAUACUGAUAGUCUUGAGUUUGGUUAAGGUAGGCGGAAUGUGUAAUGUAGCGGUGAAAUGCUUAGAUAUUACACAGAACACCAAUUGCGUAGGCAGCUUACUGAGCCGACACUGACGCUGAGGCACGAAAGCGUGGGGAUCGAACA
rnacentral:rRNA from 1 species